AUGAAGACCAUUCUCAGCAACCAGACUGUUGACAUUCCAGAAAAUGUCGACAUCACUCUGAAGGGACGCACAGUUAUCGUGAAGGGCCCCAGAGGAGGCCUGUGGAGGGACUUCAGUCACAUCAAUGUAGAACUCAGCCUUCUUAGGAAGAAAGAGGCUCCGGGUUGACAAAUAGUGAGGUAACAAAAAGGAACUGGCUACCGUUCAGACUAUUUAUAGUCACACACAGAACAUGAUCAAGGAUGUUACACUGGGCUUCUGUUACAAGAUGAGGUCUGUGUCUGCUCACUUCCCCGUCAACGUUGUUAUCCAGGAGAAUGGGUCUCUUAUUGAAAUCUGAAAUUUCUUCGGUGAAAAAUACAUCCCCAGGGUUUGGAGGAGGUCAGGUGUUGCUUGUUUGGUAUCUCAAGCCCAGAAAGAUGAAUUAAUCCUUGAAGGAAACAACAUUCAGCUUGUUUCAAAUUCAGCUGCUUCGAUUCAGCAAGCCACAACAGUUAAAAACAAGGAUAUCAGAAAAAUUUUGGAUGGUACCUAUGUCUCUGAAAAAGGAACAGUUCAGCAGGCUGAAGAU
rnacentral:lncRNA from 1 species